rnacentral:rRNA from 1 species
CCUACGGGUGGCAGCAGUCGGGAAUAUUGCGCAAUGGAGGAAACUCUGACGCAGUGACGCCGCGUAUAGGAAGAAGGUUUUCGGAUUGUAAACUAUUGUCGUUAGGGAAGAUAAAAGACUGUACCUAAGGAGUAAGCCCCGGCUAACUAUGUGCCAGCAGCCGCGGUAAUACAUAGGGGGCAAGCGUUAUCCGGAAUUAUUGGGUGUAAAGGGCGUGUAGCCGGGUUGACAAGUCAGAUGUGAAAUCCUGCGGCUUAACCGCAGAACUGCAUUUGAAACUGUUGAUCUUGAGUACUGGAGAGGCAGACGGAAUUCCUAGUGUAGCGGUGAAAUGCGUAGAUAUUAGGAGGAACACCAGUGGCGAAGGCGGUCUGCUGGACAGCAACUGACGGUGAGGCGCGAAAGCGUGGGGAGCAAACAGGAUUAGAUACCCUUGUAGUC